rnacentral:rRNA from 1 species
AGCUAAUACUUGCUUUAGCACUCUUGAUUAAGUUCUUGAGUGUGUACUUGUUAAGCCUUUUAAGAAAAAAGUUAUUAACUUAAGGAAUUAUAACAAAGAAGUAACACGUAAAUGGAUUUUCCAUUUUUUAGUGUGUAUCAAUCGAGUUUCUGACCUAUCAGCUUUUGAUGUUAGGGUAUUGGCCUAACAUGGCUAUGACGGGUAACGGGGAAUUAGAGUUCGAUUCCGGAGAGGGAGCCUGAGAAAUAGCUACCACAUCUAAGGAAGGCAGCAGGCGCGUAAAUUACCCAAUUCUAAAGAAGAGAGGUAGUGACAAGAAAUAACAAUACAAGGCCAAUCUGGCUUUGUAAUUGGAAUGAUGGGAAUUUAAAACCUUCCCAAAACUCAAUUGGAGGGCAAGUCUGGUGCCAGCAGCCGCGGUAAUUCCAGCUCCAAUAGCGUAUAUUAAAAUUGUUGCAGUUAAAACGCUCGUAGUUGAAUUUCAAAGAAUCGAUAUUUUAAGUAACGCUUUGUAGAUUAAUCCACAUAACUGAUACUACGUAUCGACUUUGUGCGCAUUUUUCUACUUAUGUGUUCUUUUAAUUAAAAUGAUUCUUUUUAAGAUCUUUCUUUUUUGCUUCGGCAUUUUAGGAGAUCUUGUUACUUUGAGUAAAUUAGAGUGUUCAAAGCAAACAGAUUAUAGCAUCUUUAUGCGUUUGAAUACUACAGCAUGGAAUAACAAGAUUGAACAAGUCAGAAUUUUGUUCUUUUUUCUUAUUUUGGCUUAGUUACGAUUAAUAGGAGUAGCUUGGGGGCAUUUGUAUUCAGAUGUCAGAGGUGAAAUUCUUAGAUUUUCUGGAGACAAACAACUGCGAAAGCAUUUGCCUAAAAUACUUCCAUUAAUCAAGAACGAAAGUUAAGGGAGUGAAGACGAUCAGAUACCGUCGUAAUCUUAACCAUAAACUAUGCCGACUAGGCUUUGGAUGAAAGAUUUUAAAAUAAGAGUUUUUUCUCUGAGGAGUUAAAACUCUUAGAUUGCUUCCUUCAGUGCCUUAUGAGAAAUCAAAGUCUUUGGGUUCUGGGGCGAGUAUUCGCGCAGGCGAGAAAGUUAAAAGAAUUGACGGAAGGGCACCACCAGGCGUGGAGCUUGCGGCUUAAUUUGACUCAACACGGGAAAACUCACUAGUUUAAGACAAGAGUAGGAUUGACAGAUUAAUAGCUCUUUCUUGAUUUCUUGGAUGGUGAUGCAUGGCCGUUUUUAGUUCGUGAAUAUGAUUUGUCUGGUUAAUUCCGAUAACGAACGAGAUCUUAACCUGCUAAUUAGCGGCAAAUACGAUAUAUUCUUAUGUGGAAUUGAAUAUAGUUGAUUUGCUUAUUUUGAAGAAAAUAUUGGGAUACGUAAAUGUAUCCCUUUCCCUUUUCUACUUAAUUUGCUUAUUAUACUAUUUCUUUUUUGCGUAAGAAUGUAUUUGCUUGAUUGUAAAGCUUCUUAGAGGAACGAUGUGUGUCUAACACAAG